rnacentral:rRNA from 1 species
GACGAACGCUGGCGGCGUGCUUAACACAUGCAAGUCGAACGGUAAGUCCCUGCUUUUGUGGGGUGCUCGAGUGGCGAACGGGUGAGUAACACGUGAGUACCCUGCCCUUCACUUUGGGAUAACUUCAGGAAACUGGGUCUAAUACCGGAUAUGAGCUCCUGCUGCUUGGUGGGGGUUGGAUAGUUUCGGUGGUUGGGGAUGGACUCGCGUCUUAUCAGCUUGUUGGUGGGGUAGUGGCUUACCAAGGCUUUGACGGGUAGCCGGCCUGCGAGGGUGACCGGCCACAUUGGGACUGAGAUACGGCACAGACUCCUACGGGAGGCAGCAGUGGGGAAUAUUGCACAAUGGGCGGAAGCAUGAUGCAGCAACGCAGCGUGGGGGAUGACGGCCUUCGGGUUGUAAACCGCUUUCGCCUGUGACGAAGCGUGAGUGACGGUAAUGGGUGAAGAAGCACCGGCUAACUACGUG